CGUCGUCGCCGGNGACGGCGCACGGGUGAGUAACACGUAUGCAACCUGCCCGUGGCAGGGGGAUAAGCGGGGGAAACCCCGUCUAAUACCGCGUAACGCGGCCUUGGGGCAUCCCAAGGCCGCCAAAGGGAGCAAUCCCGGCCACGGAUGGGCAUGCGGCGCAUUAGCUAGUCGGCGGGGUAACGGCCCACCGAGGCGACGAUGCGUAGGGGUUCUGAGAGGAAGGCCCCCCACACUGGUACUGAGACACGGACCAGACUCCUACGGAAGGCAGCAG
rnacentral:rRNA from 1 species